GACAGAGGCCUCAAGCGUUAAUCGGAAUCACUGGGCUUAAAGGGUGCGUAGGCGGCCCAGAAAGUGUCCUGUGAAAUCCCACGGCUCAACCGUGGAAUUGCGGGGCAAACUACUGGGCUUGAGGAAGGUAGAGGCGGGUGGAACGAUAGGUGGAGCGGUGGAAUGCGUAGAGAUCUAUCGGAACGCCGAAGGUGAAGACAGCCCGCUGGGCCUUUCCUGACGCUCAGGCACGAAAGCGUGGGGAGCAAACCGG
rnacentral:rRNA from 1 species